rnacentral:tRNA from 1 species
UGUGGGGUAGAGCAGUUGGUAGCUCGUCGGGCUCAUAACCCGGAGGUCGUUGGUUCAAAUCCUUCCCCCGCAA